rnacentral:rRNA from 1 species
UGGGGAAUCUUGCGCAAUGGGCGAAAGCCUGACGCAGCCAUGCCGCGUGAAUGAUGAAGGUCUUAGGAUUGUAAAAUUCUUUCACCGGGGACGAUAAUGACGGUACCCGGAGAAGAAGCCCCGGCUAACUUCGUGCCAGCAGCCGCGGUAAUACGAAGGGGGCUAGCGUUGCUCGGAAUUACUGGGCGUAAAGGGAGCGUAGGCGGACAUUUAAGUCAGGGGUGAAAUCCCGGGGCUCAACCUCGGAAUUGCCUUUGAUACUGGGUGUCUUGAGUAUGAGGAAGGUGGGGGGAACUCCGAGUGUAGAGGUGAAAUUCGUAGAUAUUCGGAAGAACACCAGUGGCGAAGGCGACACACUGGCUCAUUACUGACGCUGAGGCUCGAAAGCGUGGGGAGCAAACAGG